rnacentral:piRNA from 1 species
UCCAAAAGAGAAAGGACCACAGUGCCAGU